GCCCAAAAAAUUAGCCGAUUGAACCUACAAACCACUUUUUUGCAAACCAAAACAUUUACCCUGGACAGUAAAUGAGAUUAAACCCCGCCACCGGCCUUACAAGUACCGCAAGGGAACACUGAAAGAAUGAUGAAAUACCCGUAAGCAUAAAAAAGCAAAGACAAAACCCUGUACCUCUUGCAUCAUGGUCUAGCAAACCCCAUAAAGACAAAGAGACCUUAAGCCUUCCCACCCGAAACCAAACGAGCUAUUUUUAGGCAGCUUUUAAUUAGAGCACAACCAUCUCUGUAGCAAAAGAGUGGUAAGACCUAAAAAUAUGAGGCGAAAAACCUACCGAGCUUGGUGAUAGCUGGUUACUCAACAAGAGAAUUUUAGUUCAACUUUAAGUAUUAAUAUGAGCCAAACCCCUAAAUCUCAUACCCUAAUACUUAAAGAAAUUCAAUUGGGGUACAACCCAAUUGAACCGGAAUACAACCCGAAUCGAGAGUAAACUUUCUUUCCCCCUCCCCGUAGGCUUCAAGGCAGCCACCAAAUGCAAAUGCGUUAAAGCAAUAACCCAAAACAAUACUAGCACUAAAACCGUACUCCUAGUCUUUAAUGAGUUAUUCUAUGCCCUAAUAGAAACGCCAAUGCUAAAAUUAGUAAUAAGAAACGCUCGUUUCUCCUUGCACCCCCUUAAAUCAGAAUAGAAAAACUACUGAUCGUUAACAACUUAAUGUAAAUACCCACGAGGACCAGCCAACAAUGUUACCCAAAACUUGUUACCCCAACUCAGGCGUGCAACAAGGAAAGACAAAAAGUCAAAAAAGGAACUCGGCAAACCUUCAUCCCAACUGUUUACCAAAAACAUAGCCUUUAGCUUUACAAGUAUUAAAGGUCCCGCCUGCCCAGUGACUCUUUUUAAACGGCCGCGGUAUCCUAACCGUGCAAAGGUAGCAUAAUCACUUGUCUCUUAAAUAGAGACUAGAACGAACGGCUAAAUGAGGACCUAGCUGUCUCUUACGACUGGUCAAUGAAAUUGAUCUUCCAGUCCAAAAGCUGGAAUUUUUACAUAAGACGAGAAGACCCUGUGGAGCUUAAAAACUAAACCACCAAAAUGAACACCAGUUUUUUAGUUGGGGCGACUUCGGAGUACAAACCAACCUCCAAAAAAUGACCCGUUUACAAGAUAAACAUAUCAAAAUAAGUGUCUUAGACCCAGAAACCUUUCUGAUUAAUGAACCAAGUUACCCCAGGGAUAACAGCGCCAUCCCCUUCAAGAGUCCUUAUCGACAAGGGGGUUUACGACCUCGAUGUUGGAUCAGGACACCCAAAUAGUGCAGCCGCUAUUAAAGGUUUGUUUGUUCAACAAUUAAAGUCCUACGUGAUCUGAGUUCAGACCGGAGAAAUCCAGGUCGGUUUCUAUCUAUGAGGCACCACCUUCAGUACGAAAGGACCAAGAUAGUAGGACCACCCCUGACAGAGCGUCCUAAUUAUAACCACUAACCGCCACUAAAGAGGAAUACACGCCACCAACGAGUCUAAUAGACUU
rnacentral:rRNA from 1 species